AGAUGCUCAUUCCAUCUCUUAUGUUCGCCUUAGUGCCUCAUAAACUCCGGAAUGACGCAGAGCCGUUUACGGUGCUUAUCGUCCACUGACAGAUGUCGCUUAUGCCUCAUCAGACACCAUGGACACAACGUUGAGUGAAGCACCCACUU
rnacentral:ncRNA from 3 species